CCUACGGGACGCAGCAGUGGGGAAUCUUCCGCAAUGGGCGCAAGCCUGACGGAGCAAUGCCGCGUGAACGAAGAAGGUCUUCGGAUUGUAAAGUUCUGUCCUUAUCGAAGAGAGGGUAUAGAGUGAAAAAUGAUAUACUAGGACGGUAGAUGAGGAGGAAGCCCCGGCUAACUACGUGCCAGCAGCUGCGGUAAUACGUAGGGGGCGAGCGUUGUCCGGAAUCACUGGGCGUAAAGGGCGCGUAGGCGGUAAUAUAAGUCAGAUGUGAAAACUAUGGGCUCAACCCAUAGCCUGCAUUUGAAACU
rnacentral:rRNA from 1 species